rnacentral:sRNA from 1 species
CUUUGGGCAGGCUAAAUCCCAGCCUUCAAGUAACCCCUCAAUGUCCUAUGUCUGAAGGAAAGAAUACUUCUGUCCUAUGGAUACUGGCUGAGACGUCUUUCUUUCCCUCUCUUCACUAAAACUAAGAAAAAUAAGGAGUGGUUAGUGAGAGGUUGCUGAACGGCUGAUGACCAUCGCCUAUGAAAGUGGUGUUAACCUCUUUGAUACUGCCGAAGUCUAUGCUGCUGGAAAGGCUGAAGUGAUUCUGGGGAGCAUCAUCAAGAAGAAAGGCUGGAGGAGGUCCAGUCUGGUCAUAACAACCAAACUCUACUGGGGUGGAAAAGCUGAAACAGAAAGAGGGCUGUCAAGAAAGCAUAUUAUUGAAGGAUUGAAGGGUUCCCUCCAGAGGCUGCAGCUCGAGUAUGUGGAUGUGGUCUUUGCAAAUCGACCAGACAGUAACACUCCCAUGGAAGAAAUUGUCCGAGCCAUGACACAUGUGAUAAACCAAGGCAUGGCGAUGUACUGGGGCACCUCGAGGUGGAGUGCUAUGGAGAUCAUGGAAGCCUAUUCUGUAGCAAGACAGUUCAAUAUGAUCCCACCCGUCUGUGAACAAGCUGAGUACCAUCUUUUCCAGAGAGAGAAAGUGGAGGUCCAGCUGCCAGAGCUCUACCACAAAAUAGGGGUUGGCGCAAUGACAUGGUCUCCACUUGCCUGUGGAAUCAUCUCAGGAAAAUACGGAAACGGGGUGCCUGAAAGUUCCAGGGCUUCACUGAAGUGCUACCAGUGGUUGAAAGAGAGAAUUGUAAGUGAAGAAGGGAGAAAACAACAAAACAAGCUAAAAGACCUUUCCCCAAUUGCUGAGCGUCUGGGAUGCACACUACCUCAGCUAGCUGUUGCGUGGUGCCUGAGAAAUGAAGGUGUGAGUUCUGUGCUCCUGGGAUCAUCCACUCCUGAACAACUCAUUGAAAACCUUGGUGCCAUUCAGGUUCUCCCAAAGAUGACAUCACAUGUGGUAAAUGAGAUUGAUAACAUAUUGCGCAACAAGCCCUACAGCAAGAAGGACUAUAGAUCAUAAAGCAAUGCAUGAACCACAGAAGCUGCAUGGUUACAAUAGCGGCCUGUGCCCAGUACAGAAAGGUGUUACUAACCAGUCUUUUGAAUCACUUAGCAGCUUGCUGCUCAACCUCUAGUGUCCCUCCCUGGAUUCUUUGAGGUGUCUGCUGUCGCUACCACUGUGCACAUCUGAAAACUCACAACCAAGAAAAUCCAUUCUAUUUUCUUAUCUUGGACUGGAGUCACCUAUUCUUGCAUUGCUGUAUACACCUCAUGCUUAUGCAAUGGGAAGAAUAUGGGGGCCGGGGGUGAUGUACUACCUUCAGGCAUUUGGUAACUCAAAGAAGGCUGUACAGAUAUAUUUUUUCAAAAGAACAAAAUCCACAGAUGCAAUGUGAGUUGCAUAAGAAACAGACUAGAUAGACUAAAUUCAGUGAAGGAAAGGAAUUGAGAGAUUUUUCUUAGGAAAUAGAUUACUGUUAAGUAAAUAGUUAUUAAAAAUAUAUCUCACU